UACGAAGGGUGCGAGCGUUGUUCGGAAUUACUGGGCGUAAAGGGUUCGUAGGCGGGAAUGUAAGUUGGAUGUGAAAACCCCGGGCUUAACCUGGGAACUGCGUUUGUGACUGUAUGACUAGAGUACGGUAGAGAGGGGUGGAAUUCCUGGUGUAGCAGUGAAAUGCGUAGAUAUCAGGAGGAACAUCGAUGGCGAAGGCAGCCCCUUGGACCUGUACUGACGCUCAUGCACGAAAGCGUGGGGAGCAAACAGG
rnacentral:rRNA from 1 species